UAAGAUAUAAGGAUAAGGGUUCUAUUAGCCUUCAAAGUUAAAGGAGGUAUCUAAU
rnacentral:tRNA from 1 species